GAAAUAAUGAAUUAGUAUCUAAAAUUAGACCCGAAGCCUAGUGAUCUUACCAUGGUCAGGGUUAUAAAAGCCCGAACGGUUUAUCGUUGUAAAGAUAUCCGAUGAACUGUGGUAAGUUAGUGAAAGACAAAACUGACUAGGAUAGCUGGUUUUCUGCGAAACCUAUAUAAGUAGGUAAUUCAAGUUACAUCAUAGCAGGUACAGAACUGUGAUCUCAGGCAACUUAUAAUUUCUUAUCUAGGUAUUGCCUAGAUAAGAAAUAAUUUUGCAUAUAUCGGGGAAUCGUGAGGAUUUUAUCGGUGAGUAUUCGCACUCGGAAGGGCAAUGAUGAAGAUUAAAAUGUAUUGAAUAAUCGGACAUAGUACGAUAAGGUUGUAUGUCUAAAGGGAAACAGCCCAGAACAAGAGUUAAGGUUCCAAAAUUAUUGUUAAGUGAAACUAAGGAAGUUUCUAUCUAAUACAACUAGGAAAUAGGCUUAGAAGCGGCUAUUUUUUGAAGACCUCGUAACAGAGCACUGGUUUAGUAAACAAAACUUUACAUUGAUAGUUGCACCGAAAAUUUAACGGAUCUAAACAAUAUACCGACACCUUGUCCAUAUUGUUAAAUAUGAUUUAAUAUUUAACUAUGGGGUAGCAGAACGUUGGGUAAAUCUUGGACAUAUUCUUUUUAAGAGUAUAUAAAUAAUUUAGGCAUGCUUAAAUUAUUAGGUAACCCAAGUGAGAAUGCUGACAUGAGUAACGAAAAAGGGUCCUUUACAUCCGUUCUUAGGAACGUUGCAAGUAAUAUGGGGGGGGUAUCUAACAAAAGAUACCAUAGCCCUCGCCUAAAGCUUAUGGAUUUAUUAAAGUAACGGCCUCUAAGUUUAUUAACCUAAAGGAUUAAACGAUGAGUAAACCUUACCUACAAAGUAACAACAUCUUCUUACCUUGUGAUAAUAUUUAUACUCGCCCCUGCUUUGCAGGGGCGAGUAUAAAUAUUUAUACUCUGUAAGAAAAGUGAAGAAGGUUCUGGAAAAACUUGUAACAAGUAAUGUUUAUUUUAUUAUUUUAAAUAUAUUAAAAUAUAUGAAGAAUGACGAAAUAAGGCUAAAUAAACCGUACCUAAAUACUACCACAAGUAAGCAAGUAGAGAAUACGAAGG
rnacentral:rRNA from 1 species